rnacentral:rRNA from 1 species
GACGAACGCUGGCGGCGCGCUUAACACAUGCAAGUCGAGCGAGAACCAGGGCUUCGGCCCUGGGGACAGCGGCGAACGGGUGAGUAACACGUGGGUAAUCCACCCUCGGCACCGGAAUAGCCCGGGGAAACCCGGAUUAAUGCCGGAUGGCCCGCCGGCCCUGCGGGGCUGGGGGAAAAGGUAGCUUCGGCCUCCGGCCGAGGACGAGCCCGCGACGGAUUAGCUUGUUGGUGGGGUAACGGCCUACCAAGGCUGCGAUCCGUAGCUGGUCUGAGAGGACGAUCAGCCACACUGGGACUGAGACACGGCCCAGACUCCUACGGGAGGCAGCAGUGGGGAAUCUUGCGCAAUGGGCGAAGGCCUGACGCAGCGACGCCGCGUGAGGGAAGAAGGCCUUCGGGUUGUAAACCUCUUUCAGGAGGGACGAAGCCACUCGGGUUAAUAGCCCAGAGGGUGACGGUACCUCCAGAAGAAGCCCCGGCUAACUACGUGCCAGCCGCCGCUGUAACAC